rnacentral:rRNA from 1 species
GACGAACGCUGGCGGCGUGCCUAAUACAUGCAAGUAGAACGCAGUUGCGAACGGGUGAGUAACGUGUAGGUAACUUCCUCAUUGCGGGGGAUAACUAUCGGAAAAGAUAGCCAAUACCCGAUACUUGGAGAUGGAUCUGCGUUGUAUUAGCUAGUUGGGGAGGUAAAGGCUCACCAAGGCGACGAUACCUAGCCGACCUGAGAGGGUGGACCGGCACACGUGGAAUGAGUAACCGCCCCAGCUCCUACGGGAGGCAGCCAUAGGGGAUCUUCGGCAAUGGACGGAAGUCUUACCGAACAACGCCGCGUGGGUUGAGAAGGUUUUCGGGUUGUAAAGCUCUGUUGUUAGAGGAGCGGUAACUAACCAGAAAGUGACGGCUAACUACGUGCCAGCAGCCGCGGUAAUUC